rnacentral:miRNA from 1 species
CAAAUUCGCCUCUACGGGA